AAAUGGGGGUUUAUGAGUGGAAUGGUGUUUGUGAUUGAUUGGGUGGAGAAAUUUUGUGAAUUGGUGAGGUUUUGGGGUAGAAAUGGAGGUUUAAGGUUUUGUGGUUAUGGAGGUUUUAGAGAGAAGUUUGAAGGUGGAGAGAUGUUUGUGGUUGAGAGUGAAGGAAGAAGAAGGCCAAAAGAUGUGCAUAUGCAAACCUGAUGGUCGGGCACGACCGUGCCAACCUUAGCACGGGCCGUGCCAACUUCCUGGAAUGUGGGG
rnacentral:lncRNA from 1 species